UGGUACGGUCAUACCACGGCUAAUGCGCCCGAUCCCAUCCGAACUCGGAAGCCAAGCGCCGUUGGGCCGGAAUAGUACUGGGAUGGGUGACCUCCUGGGAAGUCCCGGUGCUGUACCUA
rnacentral:rRNA from 10 species